rnacentral:rRNA from 1 species
UACGUAGGGCGCAAGCGUUAUCCGGAAUUAUUGGGCGUAAAGAGCUCGUAGGCGGUUUGUCGCGUCUGCUGUGAAAGACCGGGGCUCAACUCCGGUUCUGCAGUGGGUACGGGCAGACUAGAGUGCAGUAGGGGAGACUGGAAUUCCUGGUGUAGCGGUGAAAUGCGCAGAUAUCAGGAGGAACACCGGUGGCGAAGGCGGGACUCUGGGCCGAUACUGACGCUGAGGAGCGAAAGCGUGGGGAGCGAACAGG